UUGGGAGAGACAGUCGGCCGACUUGCAAUCCUUUUGUGAUCAGCAAGUGUGGAGGUUUGACCAAACUCGUUUUAAUAAGAAAAGCCAGAGCUUGGCUUUAUGACGGCACCCUCAGGGGCAGCAGCCUGAGGAGGAAGAUGGAGAUGGAGUCUGGGGUGCUGGAGGCCAAGAACUGUCCUUCGGAACUACACUCGGCAGCAAACAGCCCUUCGGAGCUGCUGAGCUAGGACAGGAUAAAGAGGGUUCGAAGCUCUCCCGCUGUUUGAAGAAACUAACUUUCCUCUUCAAACUUGGUCCAGUAAUAGAAAAAUCCAGGAUGCUUAGCAAUUCUGAGUAGCUUACUUUUCGUUACAGUUUUUAAAGUAAGUUUUAUUUUAUUUGAAGAACGCCUUCAGGUUUUGUAGAAACCAGAAAUUCAGCAGCACUGGCGUAGAAAUUAUUUCAUAAACCCCCAUAAAGGAAAAGUAAUCUGAAAAUGGAUGAAAACCACUGGGCAUGAAGUUCUAAUGGGGGAGGUUCCUUUGCUCUUUAGAUACCUCCAUUUCUCCAGACCUCUACCCAAAGUGCAUGCUCAGCUGAGGAGAAAUAUUUCUCCCGAAAUCGCUACUACGUUUGUCUGCAGAGGGCUGCGUAUACACUGGGGCAUUUGGAUUCAUUUUAGAGAAAUUAAAGUCCGUAUAAUUUAAGUGCCCUUACAAAGUCUGGCGGCAUAUGGUUGGAUAUGUAGAGACUGUGCAUUGAGCAGUGUGUUCUCGUUAUAACACAGUGAGCUGUUAUAGCUAGCAUAUUAGUUUUGUAGUUUUCUCCCUAAUACAAACAUAUGUAACCCUAAUUGAAUUUAGUUUUUUUUAAAAUAGCAUUUAGUGCAUUGCCAUAACGUUUUGCUUGUAAGAGCAUACAAACAAUUCAAAAUAAAAUCUUUCAAAGGGGAUCAGUUAAUGAGGUUAAUUGAUCUCACUUCAGGUAGACACACCCUGUUCGAGGCUCAUCCCUUCUGAUGACACUAUUUUGUGGGCUUCACCGCGGUUCCUGAUGACCUAAGGAGUACAUGUGACUUCUGUAACUAGGCAGCCCUCAUUUGAGCACUGUUCUUUAGAAAAGCCUUGUUUAGCUCACACGGAAGAAGCCAGAAUAUGUAAUGAGACUGUAGAUGCUAAGGACUUAUCUGAGGAGGACACAAGGGCAUCUAGGUGACCCUGCAUGUGCCACACUGUGAGGAAUAACCGGCCCUGGCAAAGUCACAAGGAAAGGGUGGUCAUUAUUACUAGAUAAUCAGGAACAGCUUUCUAGAGGAGAGAGGCUAUUUUGAAGUAGGUCUUUCAGGAUAAAGGAAUGGUUUUUCUUAGGAUGCAGAGAGAGAAAUGUGGUUACAGAAACCACAGCAGAAAAAUUGAUUUGCUCAAGGCCAUCGGUCUACAGAGUAUUCUAGGGAAGGAAGUUUGUCUGGGUCCACACUAACCUUCCUCCACUCACAUGACCGGGAGGACUGGUUCUCUGGGUGGGAACAUCUGGUAGGGAAUGGUUACGUUAACUCAGUGGCUCAGGAAGUCGCGAACGUAGGCAGUGGAAUCCAGUAUAUUGGGAGAGGCCAUUGCCAGGAUGAAGGCUUUGAGGACGAAGAGCUUUCUGAGUAUGUUAGCUACUUUCCCAUUGCUGUGAGCAAAGUGCACGACAGAAACGGCAGGCCGACUUCAGCUAGUGUUACAGGAUUCAGCCUGGUGGGAAGAACAUGGUGUGAGUUCAGUGUCAGAUCUGCUCUUCUUGCGUACAAGAGAGGAAUCAGCAUCUAGAUUAUGAGCCCCUCAGAGGGAUCCUUCAAAGGCCCAUGUCUAGUGGUUUCUAUCAGAUAGGUUCCACCAAGGUUACCACAGUCCCAUAAAAUGGUGCUUCUCAACCUUCCCAAUGCUGCGACUCUUCAAAGUUCCUCAUACUGUGGUGACCUCCACCAUAGAAUUGACUCAUUGCUUCUUUAUAAUUGUAAUUUUGCUACUUUUAUGAAUCAUAAUGUAAAUACCUGCAUUUUCCAAUGGUCCUAGGUGACCUCAGUGAAAAAGUUGUUCAGCUCCCAAGGGGUCAUGACCCACAGGUUGAGAACCACUGCCCUAAAAUAAUGCCACCAGACAGAAGACAGAUGUUCAAAACAUGGAUCUGCGGGGAUGUUUGAGACUUAAACCCAUGAGGGGAAUGGAGACACACAAGAGCGACAAUGGUAGGUGAGAGAAAGAGGCUGCAUAGAUGGAAGAUGGCCAAGAAAAAAAAUGAGCUUGAGCACUGGGGGCCAUGUCUUUGUAAAAUCCCACCGAGUCUGCUCUGAGCCUGAUGGAAGGCGCAAUGUUGAUAUUGCUGUGCCCGCACGGGAAUGUGGUUCUGAUGGGAUCAACUGAAUUAAACACUCACAGCUCAUCACGUGCGGUGUCUGCCCUUCCAUCUUCUGCAUCAGCUUUUGUAUUCGCUCUGUCCUAACGACCCUUCUCACUGCUUGGCAUUCCUCCUGGCUUUGAGCAUCUAAAUGUAAGCCAAGUAGUUCAGCCUGGAAGACCCUAUCUUCUCUGGGACCCUCCCACCCCCAGAUCCCACACCAUCCCCUUUCCGUGCUAGGAGAGAAUGAAGACAGCCCUUCCCAAGGCUCAGGGCUCUUGGGAAAUCUCUGUGCAAAGAUUGGAACCUAUAUAUGAGCAGAGUGAUUAUACAGGGGAGUGUGUUUUGAGAUUUCUGGGGUAACAGGAGCCAAAGCUGCCUCGGACCUGUCUUUGCUUCCUCCUCUCUAACCUACCUGGUCCUUACCCCCCCACUCUUUAGACACAAUGUGAACAGUGGCAUAGAAUUGCCAGCCUAGUCAGGAAUAUGGAUUCGGUUUUCCUAGUGAGUUCUUGUGUGAGUCAGGUCAGACUGAAUCCUGACACAAGGCAGACAGACCGCUGGCUGAUGUGGAGAUGGCUUUCCUCCGCCUCCUCCACCACUUCUACACUUCACUGUUUGAGACAGUGUCUCUCAUCAAGUAUGAAAUCAGGAUGCUUCUGAAGAGCAAACUAAACGGUCAACGGAGUGAGCUGGCCAGUGAGCCCCUGAGGUCGGUCUUUCUGCACCCCAGUGCUGGGGUUAUAGAAUUAGUUACUGCUUACUGUGUAUGACUUUAAAAGGGUUCUGGGGAUCUGAACUCGGCUCUCUAUGCCUGUUCAACUUUACCCACAGAGCACGUAUUCAUGGGGAUAAUUUUGUGUCUCUGCUACGAUGCAUAACACUAUACAACAUUGAUUUGAUGAAAACCUUAUUAACAAAAAUGUUAAAUAUGACAUUUUCAGAGUUAAUCUAAAAAUCUGUAAACUAGCUUUGAAAAAUAAAGGCUUUGGUAGGACUUGGAUGUACAAUGUUUCCCAUAGGCUAAUGUGUUCCAAAAGUUGGUUCUCAGCUCAAGACAUAAUUGAAGGAGGUUGUAGACUCUUGUGACUUUUUGGGAAAUGACUUAUACUGCUCCACCUCAUGGCUAAGCCACAUUUACUAAAGGCCAAGGAACAUUUAGGUGACUGUGGUCUGUAAGCGUGAAUGUUUCCCUACCUGUCUCAGAAAGGAGCUCAAAUAUGUGAAGGUCAUCUGACUUGGAAAAAGGCCUUCAACAAUACAAGUGCAUGCUGAAACUUUUCUUUAAAUGAAGUGUUAAAGAGACAUUAGGUAUUUAUUAUAAAACAAGUCUUUUAAUUUGCAGUAGCUAAUUUAUCACAGAAACAUUGGGUAUAUAUUUUUUGAGACAGCCAAUUUUUCCAGGAACCAACCUACUCUAGCCUAAAGUGGCUUUAACUCAGAGACAUCCUCCUGCGUCAGCUUUCUUUAUGCUGGGAUUUCAGGGAUGUGUCCCCCUUCCUUGCCUUUUUGUAUUAAAAACAAAGUUUUAAUGAGGUUUUCCCACCCACAGCUUAAAACAGUGAAGUGAAACGAGGCUCUUUAAAAUGUUCACCCUCUCCCUAAAAUCUAGUCCCCACUCAUUCCAAGGUCCUUCUGCCCUCCCCACUCUUGCCUUCUUAACUCCAUGGCCCUAACCAUUUCUACCUUGGAAUGUAAGUCACUUGAGGUCAGACUUCGAGCAUAACUAUUGAGGCUACUUCUAAGCUGGUGCCUUGGGAUCUUCAUCAUGGUGGAGAAUGUAGUCUUUGGGCUGACAAACACCAGACUGUGGCCGUUUCAGCUCCCGAGAAGAAAUUGCCACUGACACUGCAGGUGCCUAGGAUAUCAGUAAACAAUGUCAUGUGGGGGUUGGGGAUUUAGCUCAGUGGUAGAGUGCUUGCCUAGCAAGCACAAGGCCCUGGGUUCGGUCC
rnacentral:sRNA from 1 species